rnacentral:rRNA from 1 species
UGAGCAGUCUGCCCUUCACAUCGGAAUAACCAUUGGAAACGAUGGCUAAUACCGAAUAUGACCUCGGAUCGCAUGAUCUGAAGUGGAAAGCUCCGGCGGAGAAGGAUGAGCUCC